GGCCAGUAGGUGACUAAAGAGAUGUGAAAAAUAAUUAUCUGCAUCAGGCUGAUGAAGGGUAAUUCCCUAACAUUGGAUUAUCUGGGCAUUAUCAGCACUUCCAAGAGCCAGAAUUAAUCAGCCAGAAAAGUGAGGUCCCAGCCACUCCUUUGCCACCAGAAUGGACCCCUGCAGAUCAGAGAAAAGUUGCCCAGGGUGAAGGCUGUUCGCCUGGAGAGGAAGGGACACAUGGAGGAAAUGUUUUACAAGAAGAAUCAGCAGAAUUCAGCAUUUGAUUUAAUAUGAGAGACAUAAUAUUAAAGAUGAAUGUGAGAAGCA